AUUGAACGCUGGCGGCAUGCUUUACACAUGUAAGUCGAACGGCAGCGCGGGCUUCGGCCUGGCGGCGAGUGGCGAACGGGUGAGUAAUACAUCGGAACGUGCCCAGUAGUGGGGGAUAGCUCGGCGAAAGCCGGAUUAAUACCGCAUACGACCUGAGGGUGAAAGCGGGGGAUCUUCGGACCUCGCGCUAUUGGAGCGGCCGAUGGCAGAUUAGCUAGUUGGUGGGGUAAAGGCCUACCAAGGCGACGAUCUGUAGCUGGUCUGAGAGGACGACCAGCCACACUGGGACUGAGACACGGCCCAGACUCCUACGGGAGGCAGCAGUGGGGAAUUUUGGACAAUGGGCGAAAGCCUGAUCCAGCAAUGCCGCGUGUGUGAUGAAGGCCUUCGGGUUGUAAAGCACUUUUGGCGGGAACGAAAAGGACUGUGCCAAUACUACGGUUCGAUGACGGUACCCGCAGAAUAAGCACCGGCUAACUACGUG
rnacentral:rRNA from 1 species